AUUGAACGCUGGCGGCACGCCUAACACAUGCAAGUCGAGCGGCAGCGAGACUAGUAGCAAUACUAGUUGUCGGCGAGCGGCGGACGGGUGAGUAACACGCAGGAAUCUGCCCUUAAGCGGGGGAUAACCAAGGGAAAUUUUGGCUAAUACCGCAUAAUCUCGAGAGAGAAAAGCGGCCAGCAAGGGUGGAGCUGGAGGAGGAGCCGGCGGCAGAUUAGCUAGUUGGUGGGGUAAUGGCCUACGAAGGCGAUGAUCGGUAACUGGUCUGAGAGGACGACCAGUCACACUGGGACUGAGACACGGCCCAGACUCCUACGGGAGGCAGCAGUGGGGAAUAUUGGACAAUGGGGGCAACCCUGAUCCAGCGAUGCCGCGUGAGUGAAGAAGGCCUCCGGGUCGUAAAGCUCUUUAGUUUGGGAAGAAGGGUAUUGGCUGAAUAAUCCAGUACUUUGACGGUACCGACAGAAUAAGCACCGGCAAACUCUGUGCCAGCCGCCGCCGUAAGAC
rnacentral:rRNA from 1 species